AUGUGACCUUUCAGGUAGAGAUGCUGUUAUGUUUUAGUCUCCAGCAACUAACUUAAAGCCUGACACACAGCUUCUCCCCAGGUAAAGGGGUGGUAAGUUCUGGAACCUCAGCCUCCCCGCUAACAAGCCACAGUUCCCUUCUCUGAAGAGCAUGGGAGGCCUUUCUGAGUUGGCCUAACUCUGACACUCAGCAUGCAUGCCUGUUGGGAUGUCAGGGGGCAAGCCUAGGCCAUCCACUAGCCGAGCCUUAAACCCAUCUGCACAGCAGAAUCUGCUAACGGAAGCUUAAAAAGAUUUCAGAUUCCUCGGACCAUGCCAGAGAACCCCCACUGAGCCUCAAUGUCACCUCCUCUAUGUCAACAUCCAGCCCCUCUGGGAAUUUCCUCCUCUGUGGCCCA